GAGAGAGAGAGAGAGAGGGAGAGGAGGGCAAACUGACUGAAACGAAACGAUAUCUAAACAAACCAUAAGCGAAGUCCAUUAUUUUUCAAAGCUUGAAUUAUUUAUUUGGGCAUUAUUGAAUUAUUUGGAUUUUAUCGAUCGAGAUGAGUUCGGAUUUGGUUAGAUUCGUUGAGUCGAUGCUCGGCGUCUCGCUCGGGAGCUCUGUGUCUGACUCUGUGCUUUUGAUUGUAACGACGUCGUUUGCUUUGAUAGUAGGGUUGUUGAUCUUUUCGUGGAAGAGAUCGUCGGAUCGGAACAAAGAGCUGAAGCCUGUAGUACUUACUAAGUCGCUUGCUGUGAGGGAUGAGGAGGAUGAGGCUGAGGCUUUUGCGGGGAAAACUAAACUUACAGUCUUUUAUGGGACUCAGACUGGAACAGCUGAGGGCUUUGCUAAGGUAUGAUCAUUUUUCAUAUAUUUUUAUGAGGUUCUUUGAUUCCUUUUGAUUUUGGCCUUUGAUUAUGGAUUGAUGAUUGGGGAUUUGGCUGGAUUUGUUAAAAAGAAAGAGAAUCCAUCAGCGUGGCCGCAGAUGAUGGCUCUUUUUGAAGUCAAAGUUAAGCGAUAAUUUUGACUGAUGUGAAAUCCCAAUUAGUUUUUGGUUAAUAGUCCUUAAUAAGACGUGGCUGACAUGAUUCUGGAUUUUUAACUUAGUCUGCUGGAAAAUGGCAUUGAAUUUUGAAAUGAGCUGAACUGUGUCCAAUUGUUCUGGCCACUCUUUGACAAGCUAUUUGGAAGUGGUUUUUGUCAC
rnacentral:misc_RNA from 1 species